rnacentral:rRNA from 1 species
UUGAACGCUGGCGGCAUGCCUUACACAUGCAAGUCGAACGGUAACAGGUUAAGCUGACGAGUGGCGAACGGGUGAGUAAUAUAUCGGAACGUGCCCAGUCGUGGGGGAUAACUGCUCGAAAGAGCAGCUAAUACCGCAUACGACCUGAGGGUGAAAGCGGGGGAUCGCAAGACCUCGCGCGAUUGGAGCGGCCGAUAUCAGAUUAGGUAGUUGGUGGGGUAAAGGCCCACCAAGCCAACGAUCUGUAGCUGGUCUGAGAGGACGACCAGCCACACUGGGACUGAGACACGGCCCAGACUCCUACGGGAGGCAGCAGUGGGGAAUUUUGGACAAUGGGCGCAAGCCUGAUCCAGCCAUGCCGCGUGCGGGAAGAAGGCCUUCGGGUUGUAAACCGCUUUUGUCAGGGAAGAAAAGGUUCUGGUUAAUACCUGGGACUCAUGACGGUACCUGAAGAAUAAGCACCGGCUAACUACGUGCCAGCAGCCGCGGUAAUACGUAGGGUGCAAGCGUUAAUCGGAAUUACUGGGCGUAAAGCGUGCGCAGGCGGUUAUGCAAGACAGAGGUGAAAUCCCCGGGCUCAACCUGGGAACUGCCUUUGUGACUGCAUGGCUAGAGUACGGUAGAGGGGGAUGGAAUUCCGCGUGUAGCAGUGAAAUGCGUAGAUAUGCGGAGGAACACCGAUGGCGAAGGCAAUCCCCUGGACCUGUACUGACGCUCAUGCACGAAAGCGUGGGGAGCAAACA